GCGCACAUUUCAUUGUCUUUUUUCUUCAUAUUAAGAGAAAAAAGAUAUUUCUGAUGUGCUAAACAAACUUGGAGGUAAAUUAGCAGCGUGGCUACUUUGGCCACUGCUGUCAGUCACCUUCAGACAAGU